UACGUAGGGUGCGAGCGUUGUCCGGAAUUAUUGGGCGUAAAGAGCUCGUAGGCGGUUUGUUGCGUCGGCCGUGAAAACUUGGGGCUUAACCCCGAGCCUGCGGUCGAUACGGGCAGACUAGAGGUAUGCAGGGGAGAACGGAAUUCCUGGUGUAGCGGUGAAAUGCGCAGAUAUCAGGAGGAACACCGGUGGCGAAGGCGGUUCUCUGGGCAUUACCUGACGCUGAGGAGCGAAAGUGUGGGGAGCGAACAGG
rnacentral:rRNA from 1 species